GACGGACAGAAGGGUUUUCCACUUUGGCUCUGUCCAUUUGGUCCAGAGAAGAUGGAUGAUGUCCACUUAUGGCUCCUUCUUUGCUAGAAGUUUUGGUUUGCUGAUCGCACAACGCUUUGUGGCUGUUUGCGUGUCGAGGAGCCUGUGCCUUCACCAGGGAAGUCUCAAAUGUCCCAGGAAUGGGUGGACCAAAGACCAGCUUUCCAGAGUCAUUAUUUUGUUUUAGGGGUUUUUUUUUCUCAUUUUGUUAGACAUGGCACAGUUGAAAGUAAAAGAAGACCACUCUAAUUUGUCAUUUGUUGUCAUAUUUUGAUAUAUUUGAUUACUUUUUA
ensembl:lncRNA